AUUGAACGCUGGCGGAAUGCUUUACACAUGCAAGUCGAGCGGCAGCGCGGCCUUCGGGCUGGCGGCGAGCGGCGAACGGGUGAGUAAUGCAUCGGAACGUGCCCAGUCGUGGGGGAUAACACUUCGAAAGAAGUGCUAAUACCGCAUACGUCCUGAGGGGGAAAGCGGGGGAUCGCAAGACCUCGCGCGAUUGGAGUGGCCGAUGUCAGAUUAGCUAGUUGGUGGGGUAAAGGCCUACCAAGGCGACGAUCUGUAGCUGGUCUGAGAGGAUGAUCAGCCACACUGGGACUGAGACACGGCCCAGACUCCUACGGGAGGCAGCAGUGGGGAAUUUUGGACAAUGGGGGCAACCCUGAUCCAGCCAUUCCGCGUGAGUGAAGAAGGCCUUCGGGUUGUAAAGCUCUUUCGGCAGGAACGAAACGGUGGGCUCUAACAUAGUCCGCUAAUGACGGUACCUGAAGAAGAAGCACCGGCUAACUACGUG
rnacentral:rRNA from 1 species